CAAGCAGGGAGCCCAAACUCCUCGCACUAAAGCCUCCCUUUGUGAGCAGGUGAGCCGGUGGAACCAUUUGUAUGUCGUUGCACUGAUUGUGACCUGCCAAAAAUACCUGCUGGGAAACAAUGGCCUCCUUCACAGGGAGCUCAGAGAGGAGAGUUUUUUUUCGUUUUUUUUAGGUUACAGCACAAGGAGCUAAACUCCGGACGGAGCUAUAACGGCAUAAAGAAGCAUGCUUUGGCUGCAGACGCUGUUUAAUAACAAUAAUAGAGCAGGUCCUGUUCUAAAGAAAGCACACUGAAGGAUGACUAGAACUGAUGGGAAUAUGGACUUAAAGGUGCAUUAAAGGCAAAGUGACUUUCCUGCAGUGAAGUGUGAAGUCAGGGUGAGCUGAUCUGUGAACACAGCAGGUUUUUGCCUCCUCCUCCUCCUCCUCUGUCCUAAACUCAACAGAGUGUGUCGAGCCGACUAUCUCCUGCUGUGAGCUGCGUGUAUGAAAGACAACUCCGCAAAAACUUCUCCUGCAAUUGACGAGAAGACGUCAGCAAUCCAUGUGUGAAGGGAGGUUUAGAGGGCUACGAUCUGAGACGAUACAUCAUGCCUUAUACGAGCAUAUCCAAUUAGCAAAAAACAAACAUACUAUGAGGUGACCUGCCCCAGUUCACUUCCAUGAUUCAUCACAUUUCAGGGCAACUUUCUGCUGAUAAACAUGGACGCUUUUUGGGCGUCAUCUAAUGAACUAAAAGUUCAGAUUUC